rnacentral:misc_RNA from 1 species
GAUGAAGAACGCAGCGAAAUGCGAUAAGUAAUGUGAAUUGCAGAAUUCAGUGAAUCAUCGAAUCUUUGAACGCACAUUGCGCCCUCUGGCAUUCCGGGGGGCAUGCCUGUCCGAGCGUCAUUGCUGCCCUCAAGCACGGCUUGUGUGUUGGGCCUCCGUCCUCCUCCCGGGGGACGGGCCCGAAAGGCAGCGGCGGCACCGCGUCCGGUCCUCGAGCGUAUGGGGCUUCGUCACCCGCUCUUGUAGGCCCGGCCGGCGCUUGCCGACACAUCAAUCUUUUUUCCAGGUUGACCUCGGAUCAGGUAGGGAUACCCGCUGAACUUAAGCAUAUCAAUAAGCGGAGGA